GAGCUAAUACAUGCGAACAAUCUCGACUCACGGAGAGAUGCUUUUAUUAGACUACAAACCAAACGGCUUCUGCCGUCUCACUGGUGACUCUGAAUAACUUUGGGCUGAUCGCAUUGCCUUGUGCAGGCGACAUUUCCUUCGAAGGUGUGCCCUAUCAACUGUCGACUGUGAUAUAGACGCUCACAGGGGUUUUGACGGGUAACGGGGAAUCAGGGUUCGAUUCCGGAGAGGGAGCCUUAAAAACGGCUACCACAUCUAAGGAAGGCAGCAGGCACGCAAAUUACCCAAUGAUCGAAGAUCGAGGUAGUGACGAAAAAUAACAAUACAAGUCUCUUCCGAGGCCUUGUAAUUGGAAUGAGUACAAUUUAAAACCUUUCCCGAGGAUCUAUUGGAGGGCAAGUCUGGUGCCAGCAGCCGCGGUAAUUCCAGCUCCAAUAGCGUAUAUUAAAGUUGUUGCGGUUAAAAAGCUCGUAGUUGGAUUUCAGCGGGUAGUGGUUGGUUUGAAUUGCUUCAACACUGACUUUUUUACCCGUGUGUUGGGUCAGAUUCAGGCGGGUGAUCUUAAACGGUUGUCCGUCCGAGCUGGCUAUUUUACUUUGAAAAAAUUAGAGUGCUCAAAGCAAGCUAGAUAGCUUGAAUAUUCGUGCAUGGAAUAAUGGAAUAGGAGGUCGCUUCUAUUUUGUUGGUUUUCGGAAGUCGACUUAAUGAUUAAUAGGGAUAGUCGGGGGCAUUUGUAUUUAAGUGACAGAGGUGAAAUUCUUGGACCACUUAAAGACAA
rnacentral:rRNA from 1 species